UGUCAACACAGUUGGAAGUAUUAGCACCGCCGAGCAUGCCCGACGAUUGGCUAAGCAGUUGGGGAGAAGACCAUUGAUGCCUGAGCUGAUUUCGAGGACCCGGACAAGGAGAUCGGGAGGUGUUGUCGACGAGCGCACGAGGAUGUAUCUUGAAGAAUAUGAUAGACGACUUGCCAUUUUUCUGGAAAAUAAUCCUCAAUUCAUGCCAGCAGAGGGGGAGCCGCUUAACGCGGAUGUUGAUCACUACAUUUGGUGUGAGG